CGGGGCUUGGGGCCGGCAGCCGAGGCGAUGGCGGCGGCGGCGGCGGCGGGCGGAAGCCGCAGCCGGGGCUGUGGGCGGGGAGCGGGCCCCGCAGCGCCGCCCCUGCCCCCCAGCAGCCGGGGGCGGCGCCCGGCGGCCCCGUGAGGUAUGCCUGACAGAAAGGUCCGACGGUGAAUCACAGAGCCAUUGAGGUUAGAAAAGCCCUCCAAGAUCACCUGGUGCAACCAUCCCCUACCACCAAUGUCACCACUAAACCGUGUCCCCAAGCACCACGUCCAGCCUCUCCUUGAACACCUCCAUGGACAGUAACCCCACCACCUCCCUGGGCAACCCAUCCCAAUCCCUGACCACCCCUUCUGAGAAGGAUGCCAGUGUGCCCCACCAGUGAACCCACAUCUCCCAGAGGGAAACGAAACAUCCCGGCUGUAUGCUGCUCGCUCUGAGGGUCUUCAAGCCCAGACUGCUGGCCUGGAGAUGUUUCUUCACAAUCAGCAUCAAAAGUAAGAUCAGGAUGGGCCUGGCUCAUGUACAUGAAAAAGAUGCAGCGUGUCACACUUCAGUCCGUCCUAAAACAGACCCAGAUGCAAAUGAGUCGUACAGCAUAGGAGAUGAAGUUAACCAAGAAAAUAAAGCAAAGAAAAUCAUGUAAAAUCAUCCAUCUAUUACCCAUGUGUCAGAUGCGUCAAAAUGCAAACCCUCACUGAUGUGACAUGAGCCCAGGGAGUCUGAGCAAUAAUUUUCAUGCCGCUCACUCAUAAUGAACACCUUUGUGGAGAAGAAACAGGCCAUUUUCAGCUUGAGGAGCCCUGGCCUGCAGUGCCUGGUUCUCUUUCAUAUAUCACGGACUUCAGCAAAUCCAGAAACAGCAAAGGUAAAAAAGCACAGUCUGUUACAACUUUUGGCCAGUGUUGUGUUUACAUCCAGAACUCUGACUGUAGUUGAGGAGGUAAAAAAAACAAACCUGAAGAUGAAACGGGGCCUGAAAAUUACCAAAAUCAGAAGAAAGCUAGGCGUGAUAAUAACAUGGUAAGCUCUUCCUAUGAAAGAAGUUUGCACCUUAAAUCUGAAUUCUGAGACAACACAGCAUUUCUGCAACACAUGCAGUGUAGUACUGAAGUCAAAAGAUGCUCAUAAAAUCCAGGAAAGGCAUCAUGACGUGGAUUGUAGUCACUUGACGGUGGGUCUUAACAGAAAAUCUAUUAAAAUCAUACAAGCACAUAAAAGUAACCUACUAGUGCUUCAUCUGUGAAAGUGUUUUUAAUAUCAUAGAGUACCUGGAAAGCGCACAAAACACCACCAGAGGAAUCCUCAUCUCUUUCAGCACGAAAAGUGUUCAUCAUUAUCAUCAUUUGAGAAUGAGAAGAUGUCUUCGUGUAGCUUGCUGUUAGUAGUCUACAUUCAAUGUAUCCAAUGUGAUUUUAUCAGUCCUGUGAUGUCUAGACCCUCUAGGGUUGCCGGGUUUGCCUCCAUCAGGACAUCCUAACAUACACACUGCGUUGGUUGAUGAUGUAUUGAUCACCAAACCCUGCUGGAGCACGGAGCUGGCAUACGCUGCAUAGAGGGUGAGAGCAGAGCUGAAAGAACAUGUGAAAAACCACAAAACUUCUCCAGCCUUUUUGUGUUCAAUUUGUGGUCAAGUAUUCAAAACCAGACAUCAGAUGAAUGGACAUCGCAAACAAAUCCAUUAGAAAACACAAAUUAAAGAGAGGAAGAGAUGAAGGCUGAAGAUAAUUCCAUGUGGUCCAACACAAAAGCAACUGGAAAGAAGAAUUCAAGUGAAUUUGCAUGCAGUACCUGCAGUAGGCCAGAAGCCUUUCAAAUAUGAAAUCUGCCCUUACAACUCCAUUGAUGAAAGUGGUGAAGUGGCAGCAUUUACGGACACACACUAGUGAGAUGCCUUGCGAAUGUCUACUCUGUUCAUAAAGUUGGAUUCAGAAGACAAGGUUGGACCUUCUCAUGUACACCAACAUAGCACUGAAUUGAUAUGGCUGGAGAGAGGUGGUGACCGUCCUGUUGGUGUGUUAGUCUGAGAAUUAGUGAAGAAUCUACACAGUGGAGAAUUACAUCAGUGUUGCCUCAUCCAGGAUAAUGAAAAGGAAGCCGCCAGACACUCAUCGCAGACAGAUAUCCUUUAUCCCUGGGUUCUUGAGACUGUGCUUCUGUACCACGCUCUGCAUAUUGCCCUGGGGGAGCGUGGUGUGGGAAAAGGUACAGAAGAAGGAGGUGUAGGCACUAAGCCUGCCCAUCAGGAACAUUCAGAGAACAAUUUUACUUCCCUUAUGUGCCUAUGCUAUAGUGCUGUCAGCAGGCACAGUCUGGGCUGUGGAUUAAAAUAACAGAGGAAUAUGAGUGCAUCAAGAUCUCUGCCUGAAAGAGUGGCCGUAUAAUGGGCUAGAUGAAGAUCUGGCUACAGCUUUUCAACUUUCUUCACCAGCACAAAUUCAUACACGCAUCCGUAUUGAACAGCCACGUGAAUGUAAAGAAACAGUUGUUAAAAGAGCGUUUGAGGUCUUGUUACAAAACAAUUCCCAGGAAGUGAGAAGAUGAAUUUAAUAAAAUAAUAUUCUGACCACUCUGCUUCCCGAGGAUUUCGUAAACCUUAGCUUGUUCUCAAAACACUUCUAUGAGCUACAGAAACUUCAUCCCCAGUUUACAUAAGAGGGAUCUGAAAGGCGGUGAGUUGGAAAUUUCAGUGAAGCUCCUGACUGUCACAUACUUGCCUUGGUUUGAUCCAACUGGCUUUCUCUCCAGGCACUGUAACAUUCAAUGCUUCCUAUAGAAAUUACACUGCGGGACUUCCGAGCCUGCAAAACCAGCAUCCCCAGUGCAGCCACGACUGUUAUAACAAUACUGACCUUUUGUCAUGUGCUUUAACUUUUUAAGUAAUUUUUCUUCACAACAUGGCUAUGAUAGACUGAUCUUCGUCAUUCUGAAGCAUGCCCCAGAUUGUUUUGCCUACUGACUACGGGUAAAGGCAUCCUAGGUUAGUGCCAUCCCUUCUUGCCCAGCAGCAGGUUGCUCACAACAAUUCUCACCUCAAAUCUGACAUUCCCUUGGAUGUACAGUCAGUGGUAUCCCUCAGCCUUUUUCCAGAACUGUUAUAAUUAGAGCAAAUUCAAGUUAACUCACCUGUUUGGGGUUGCAUCUAGGUUGUGAGUCAGUCUUAUCUAACCCCUAGAAAUGCUUGGGGUCUGCAAAUGAACCCAACUUCACUGUGGAUGGGCUACGUUUUAUAGCAAAGUCCCUACCCAGAAUAACUUUGCCAUAAUUUGUUUGGGACAGGAACAGAGUUACAUGGAGGCAAUCAUUUUGGUCUGGUCUUUGUGCCUGACAGAAAGCAACUGUUUCAGAGCUGGGGAAAUACAUGAAGCCUUCUAAGCAUUCAUGAAAAGUUUAUUUCCCAGGGAAACAAGCUGUAUUCUGCCAGUUUCGCUUUAUAUGGGUAUUGUUUGGCUUUUGCUGUCAUUUUUCUGUUGAAAUUAAUCCUUCCCAAGGCAUGUGAUACCUCUUCCUCGUGGCAUUUCCAUUAGCAGGAUCUGCUUCACUGCCUCAAAUGGCCUUUAUUCAGGGCUUCAGCAUAUGCUUGAAGGAAUAGGAUGCUUUGAAAAAAGCCCAGGCCUUUAUAUGAAACUGUAGCCAUAUCUUAUUACCUGGUCCUUGUGCUUCUUGCAGUCCUGCAUUAUGUGUUUUCCCAAUUACAGCCUGUACCUUGUGAAUGCCCAUGGCUGAGGGUGUUCCUCUGAGGGAACAGCCUGCAUUUCUCAUGGCCCAGCAUUUUGCAAAGGAUGUGUUUUUAUACUGUGUUUUAGCAGGGCUUUUGUAUAAGAGGCCUCGAAGGGGCUUCAGGCUUCCACUGACAAACUGUGGGCAGUCCUCCAAUGUUUCAUACAAUCACUGGGAAACUUGUGGGGGGAUAUUUUAUCAUACUUCUUGCUCUUCAUCUAUGACCUGCUGUAGAAGAGCCCUGAAAUCAUGCCUCUUGUGGAAGCAGUGCCUCUGGAAACUGGGACCAAAUUCCUCCACAGAGGUAGCAAAUCUUCUGUAGUCUGAGAUGGUUUCUCGAAAGAGUUUCGAGACUCAUCUAUUAUAAAUCACAUGCUUUGGCCAUUUUUUCAUAUUUGAAAGAAUAUGUUUUUGUUUUCUAACUACACCCAUUUUCUUAAAACAGCCAUGCUUUGUUUAUCUUGCAGAACUCUCCUGACAUUACUGACUUUUUAAUGUUUUAUUGAAUAAUCUGCUCACCUAAGUGACUAAAUUAUUUCUCAUGCACCCCCUUUUUCUUUCAUCCAGACACAUAAAGGAAUGCUUUCCAAGGAGUCUUUGGGGACAACAGGGAUAUGUAAAGAUAUUUAAAGGAUACGUGAAGAUAAAUCACAUUUCCUUUCCAAACACUUGUAGCUCCAAAGUAAAUAUUCUGUAUUGUAACUAGUUGGCUCACUAUUUGAAAAGACCACUCUGCCUUUAUGUUUCAUAUCCAAGUGGAUCUGGUGGAUAAUCAGAUAAUUGUUCCCCUUACCAUGGACAAAUAAAAGGGAGAAUCCCUUAGAAAAUAAAGAAAGGGCAGAUUGCUAAGGUUAAUAGUGCUGAGUUCACGCUCAGAGUUUACUUGUUAUUGGGUGUCUUACCAGUUUUUGCAAGACCUGUGAGAUGUGGACAACUAAAGUUCACUUCAAGCUGGGACUCAACUGAAAUCCCUUGCACAUCAUUGAGACUUUGUCCUCCAGACCUGAAAAUUACAUUUAGGCCUCUUAACGCCAUGGACAUCUUACCUAAUUACUUCUAAAAUAGAUAAAUAGAUAAAUAAAAACAGGACUGUGGUGCUUUCCUCUGCUUUUUGCUCAAUCCUCCCUCCUGUAAUUGGAUCCACUUGGAGUUAAUUAAGUUCUUGGUGCAAAUUAUGAAGUUGCCUCAAAGUUUAUAUUAGGCUCGCAAAUAGCAGCAAGAGGAGGUAACACUUACUGAUGACUCCUCCUUUUUGCCAGCGGGGAAGAUGUGUUUACAACAGGCUGGGAAGGCAGCUGAACCCCUCCAGGAGGUAAUGUCACUCAGCGCUGCUCAUCAAACUUGGCUCUCCUGAGUCCUGAGCCAUUCCUGUGGUUACCUGCACAGGCUCCCUCAUUGUGUGCUCGCUUUGAUGCUAAGAGGCACUGAUAAUUGCAACGUUGUGAAAUACUUGGAGGAUUGGCUUGGCUGAAGGACAUAAAUCCAGGAGAGGAAAUUCUGGGAGGAUGAAUGAUUUCACAGACCAAAGGCUUUACAUGUUGACAUGAUAGCAAUAAAAUUCUUUAACUCUGAGCGUUGCAGUCUAAAGUGAAAGGAAACCCUGGCGGUCUCUAAUGAUUGAUGCAUUUAGACCUUAGUGUUUUCCCUGUGCUUCAUGGUCAGGAGCAGAGGAAGGAGACUGGCACCAACACUAUUCCUCGUGAGUCAAAACAAGAGCUUACUUGGCGGCUAAACCUGUGAGAUCAUGGAAGAGUGCAAGAGCAGCUCUGGGUUAUUAUUUCAUUGAGCUGGCAGAUGCCAAGAAGAUCACACGAUAUGAUUAUCUCAGCCUCCAGGUUAUUCACCGUGGAGAGGACAGAUCAAAAAUGAUGUGGCUGUACAAUACCAUGACUACAAAUGCUGUCAGUGCCAGUCCUAGCUUGUGGGCUUCACUUUGGGCUGAAUCACUACUGAAAAUACAAUGGCUCCUGCACUGCCAGAAGAAGCACCUGCCUCCUCUGGCCCACAGUGGCUCUGCAAAACAGAAAAACCCCUAAGGCUGGAGGACAGGAGCUGUGGAUGAGAGCAUUUCCUAGAAAUAAGAAAGAUUUGAAAUCACACAGAACAGGAGAGACAGCAGAGAGGAACCCAAAGGAGGAAUGAAUACAAAAUAAAACAGGAUUUCUCCAGAAUUUAGUGCUCACGUGUGUUUCUAGAUUUGUUUCAUCAAAAAUCUGGAUGCUACAUAAACAUCUUUACACAAGUUUAUACUACCCAAGUGUUAACUGUAUUGAUUUGGAAGUGUUUAUAGAUGGACCACGAGGAUGUCAGCAGGCUGAUAUCUUGUUUUCAUCUUCCACAAGACAGGAACCACCUGAACAAGCCUACAGCAAAGGAUUUGGGAAGGAUGUGAUCUCGAGUGCCUGAUCAGAGGCUCAUGUCAGAGGCCAUAUGUCAAAGACUGCUGAAUGCAAGGCCGUGCAGUGCACAGUUCUUUUUGCUUUCUUUGUGGAACUUCCUUAAGAGAAAUGUCACAGCUCCCCAGGGGUGAUAAUUGUGAAAUUAUCCAAGAGAGCUGGCUGCAAGCCAGAGGAGGAGGGGAAGGGAAAGACCCCUGGAGCAAUGUAAAGCAUACCAAGAGGAAAAGCUAGUACAACAAACGCAGUGGUGGUGUGGGCACUAAUCCUGUUGUAGGGGCUCCAAACUACAAUCCUGGGCAAAACGUGCAAGUUUCUCUUUCAUUUUCUGCCUCAGGGCAGGAAAGCGCCAGGAAGUUGUGCAAGAAAUGUUUCCCUGGUGGAGAUUUAUUAAAGAGAUUACAUUGCCUGGGGAGAGCAGAAAGGCUAUUUCAGACCAUGGAGGACCAAAAUGGAAUUAAGCCCAGAGACAGAGAGAAGGACUUGCUGUGGACUUUCGAGGUUGUCUUGAAAGGCAACCAUUUGGGGUUGGAGAUACGAAGACAGGAAUUCGUGUCUGACUUUCUCCAAAGGGAGUGAGCAUGCAGCUCAGAAGAGAAGUGGGAUACCUGCUGUGGGUGAAGAGGAACCAAAGAGGGCUCAGAAGGGCAGUGGGACUAUACCAAUAAUUCUUCCUUUUCUAAAAGUCUCCUUCAUUUUACAGUCGCAGAAAGGUAGCUGCAACUUCUAGAUGCAUGGAGUCGCGGCUUGAAGUGAACACAGCUAUUUUUGUGCCAUCUGUUGGGCUCUACUUCGAGAGCUUCCACGUCAGGCAACAACUGAAGAAUCAGAGUGAUCCACAAACCAGCCAGAAGAUGCAAUUUAUGCCAUAUUUACAUUUCACUGAAGCGACUGAAGAGAUGGUCUUGGACUAAGGACUGCAUUGGGCUCAUAAGUGAUGACUAGGGCUAAAACUGUACAGCAGAAGGGCCCAAAGUAGGCAGGCAGUGGAAUUACAGUAAUCUUGCAGUAGGAUAUUGCAUUAGCAUAGCCUCUGCUUGCAGGGGCAACCAAGGACUUGUGCUUUUGACAAGGACUGUACAGACCCUUCCUGUCACACAAAAUAAGUUGGAUCGGUGCACCAUGGUACAGUCCGUUGGUUCUGUCCCCUGGGACAUAACAAUAUUUUGUGCUGAAAACCAGGAGGCUUCUGUAGGUUUUUAACUGGCCUAAUUUGAGCCUGACUGUGCUGGAAACUUAAGCUGGAGUGCAGUGAGCUGUAUACCUGAAUUGUAUGGGAACAAUUCCCACUGGCUUUCCAUUCCACUUUCUUCAAAAUAAAACAAACAAAAUACC